CUCUGCAGCUUUUACACCUUCAUCACAUCUGGGUCUGGAGGCCCUGCAUGUCUGCAGCGGCGGGACAGGCGUCUGCAUGUCUGCCGUCAGGACGGACGCAUAAAUACGUGGAGCUGCAGACGCCGCCUUCACUGUCGGACGGCGUGCUGGUGGAGGACGGGAGACAAAGCUGAGACAACAUGGACCCACUGAGGCUGGUCGCCUUCGGCUAGGGAGACAUCAUCUACGCCUGUCACAAUGACACUGCUGAGAUGUCCUGUGACGUCGGCAGUAAGAUAAACCUGGAACACAUCCUGUACAAGGUCGGCGUGGGGACGAGGUGCGGGGAGGGCAAGCGCCACCCCGACGACGGACCCGACGACUACUGCUCCUUCCCCUGGGCGGAGAUGGUGGUGGAGGACCUCUGUGGGAACAGGCGGUCCUGUAAGGUCCCCGUCACGGAGCACGUCUUCGGUGAAUAUCCCUGUCAGGAGCAGACCAGGUACCUGGAGGUGUCCUACACCUGCGUCCAACCACCUGCACCACCUCCACCCCCGCCUCCACCCAAGCCUGACUGUGAAGACAAAGCCGCGGAUGAAGCCUGAAGGUCUCCUCUGACUAACUUCAUUCUGUCCUAAGUGUAAACUUCCUGAAGUUGGUUUAAAAUGCAUCGUUGAUGUGAAAUAAAACGUUUCCCUCUGAAUGUGUCA
rnacentral:lncRNA from 1 species